UCAGCCAGCGAGCGCCCGGACCGCCGCCGGCACGCCAACAUCCUGGCCGCUCAUUGGCCGCCGUCGCCGGGCACAACCAUCCGGCCUUCGGUGCGGGGUUCGCUCCCGGCACGCAGCGGCCCAGGCCCCGCCCCCUUACCCCCGCGCUGGGGAGCGGUGGCCCGGUCCGGCGCGCUGCGGGCCCUGCCUCCCUGCCUGUCGCCCUCCACGCCUUCCUCUUUCCAUCCGUCCUUCGUCUCCUUGUAUUCCCGCUCUCCUCGCUCCUUUCCUGCCUUGGCACUUCUGUUUUCUCCUCUCCUUAGCGCUCCUCCAUUUUUCAUCUACUUCUUUUUCCUCCUCGGGUUGCCCACUUUUUUUUUUUCUGAGACGGAGUCUCGCUCUGUCGCCCAGACUGGAGUGCAGUGGUGCGAUCUCGGCUCACUGCAAGCUCCUCCCUCCCGGGUUCACGCCAUUCUCCUGCCUCAGCCUCCCGAGUAGCCGGGACUACAGGCGCCCGCCACCACGCCCGACUAAUUUUUUGUAUUUUUAGUAGAGACGGGGUUUCACCGUGUUAGCCAGGAUGGUCUCGAUCUCCUGAUCUCGUGAUCCGUCCGCCUCGUCCUCCCAAAGUGCUGGGAUUACAGGCGUGAGCCACCGCGCCCGGCCGGGUUGUCCGCUUUUAUCUCCUCUUUUCCUUGAGCCUCCUCCCCUUUUUUUCUCCUCUUCCUUUUCCUUAAGCCUUCGCCUGUCAAUCACGUCGAAAGACAGGUAUUUGACCGGAGCCAGUAUCUUGAUCUGCCUAAAGAGAAGACAUUCAAUCGUGAACAGUCGAAUAUUAUUCCUUCCUCAAUUAUACAGAAAAAGAGCACAGCAUCUGCGCUGAGGAGAGGCUUGGACCCUGCAGCCUGCAGGAAAACACCACUGGAUAAGUGACUCCUACCGCGGAACACCCCUCAGCAGCUUAAAGCAAAGGAAGGUGUGCCAGGAGGUGCCAUAGUCCAUCCAGGUCAGAGAUGAGGGGACCUGACCUCAGGUGGUAGAAGGAAGGGAAGAGAGGAAGACUCAAGAAGCUUUCAGGAUGUGUGGGGCUGGGAGGAGAGGGACGGGUCUAGAAAAGCCUCACCCCUCCAACUGUGGUUGAGGGCCAGCAGCAGCAGUAGCUGGGUUUCUUAGAAAUGCAAAAUCCAGUCUGUAGCCCCAACUACUUAGGAGGCUGAAGCAGGAGGAUCACUUGAUCCCAGGAGUUUGUGUUCAGUCUGGGUAACAUAGUGAGACUCUGUCUCUAAAAGAAAAGACAGGAAAGGAGGGAGAGAGGGAGGAGAAAGAAAGAAAUAAAUAGAAAAGAAAGAGAAAAAGAAAGGAAAAGAAAAAAGAAAGGGAGGGAGGGAGGAAGAAGGAAAAAGGAAGGAGGAAGGGAGGGAGGAAGGAAGGGAGGGAGGGAAGGAAGGGAGGGAAAGAAGGAAGGAAGGAAGGAAAGAAAGAAAAAAAAUAGAGAAGGAGAAAGAAAUCCAGAAUCUUAGGCCUACCAGGCUUGCUGAAUGAGAACCUGCAUUUUAACAAGACCUCCAGGUGAUUUACGCAUGCCUUGAGGUGUGCAAAAGCCUGGUCUAGAGCGUGCAAAGCCCUGGUCUAGAGCGUGCAAAGCCCUGGUCUAGAGCGUGCAAAGCCCUGGUCUAGAGCGUGCAAAGCCCUGGUCUAUACCAACUAAGAUGCUCGCUGUUAUGAGUGGGCAGCAAUGACAUCACCCAUGGUAGAGGAUGGAGGAGGAGGAGCAGGAGAAAGCCAGGGGCGGUGGGGAGGGGGGUAUCUGAGUUCCAGUGGAGUCUCCAGAGUUGGAGGGAGCCUGAGGUUACCAGGUGCAGUGUUGGGGAGGAGCUGGGCAUGUGCCUGAAGCUAGGGGAGGGCAGGGUCUUGCAGGAGGUGCAGGAGUGGGAGCUGGGGGCACACCUGUGAUAGCUGGAGUCCUGAGUGCAGAUGAAAUCUCUCUGGGAAGUGGGGUAGCACUGACAGUGCCCAGAUGGCCAGUGAUAUGGACGGAGUGGAUUUGGGCUCAGCUCCUCUGACUCCAUGGUUGGUCUUGUCUGCCCAGGGCCCUCCUCAGAGUUGCCUGGCCUUUGUGACAACUUGUCCACCUGACGCCUCCACGCAGUCCUUCACUGGCUUGCAGUCCCCGGUAGCACUCACAGCCUUCUUCCCGCAGCCCAGGUCGCUGCUGUCUGAGGCCCCCCGCCCCCCAACCCAGGGAACUGCACAUCACACCUGCUUGCUUCUGCCAGAAUCCUGAGCGGUCCCCCUUAUCCCCAAGCCUCAUUGAUUCUGCGCCCCAAAUCCAUCCACUUCUCUUCAUUCCCACUGCCACAACCCUGGUCCAAGAACAUCACCUUGAAUCAGACGACACAAAGGGCCAUCCCAGGAUCCAGCACUGACCUCUACAAUCUACUCCAACCACCGCAGUCAGAGGGACUGUCCCAAAAUGCAAAUCAUUCCCACAUGCUUCUGUGUGGGCAUCUCUGGUGGCUUGUCACCAGGGCAUGUCACCAGAACAGUGUUGCUGCCACAACCUCUCCAGCUCUGCCUGGGUCUCUCCUCAUGGCUCUGGCACCAGCCUACACCGUGGCCUUCUGCCUCCAGCCAGGCCAGCUCUUUUCAGCCCCAGGACUUCCCGUGUGCCCCCAGAUCUCCGUAGUGGGCUCCUUCCCUACCUCCCCACCUCAGGGAGGCCUUGCGCGUCAUUCCCAUUCUCAGCACCAUUUCCCCACCAGAGACCCGCGCUGCAGCGUUACAUCUGCUCAUCGCCCUGGUUAUUGUCCGUCUCUCCCCACAACUAUCAGCUUCCUGCAGUGAGGAUAGCAGGACCAGACACAUGUAUUCACUCUGGUGUUGAGUGACUGGCCAGCGUGUUCCAGAAUCCAGAGAAAUCUCAGGUCCCUGGGGCUGAAGUGGUUGGGAAAAGCUUCCUGAAGGUCCUUCCUGAGAUAAAGCUGGAAAGAGGGGCAGGCUUUUUGUAAGUACAGACUAUUUUGGGCAGGGUCAAGGGUGAGAGAUGAGACUGAAGUGUGUGCACAGGAGAUGAAAGAGACCAACCUGGCUGCAGGGGGCUGGAUGGGAGUGCAGAGGGCCUCAAACACCAGGGUGGCGAGGCUAGAUCCAGCAGGCCCCAGAGGCCUCUGACAGAGUCCAGGUAACCCUGAGCUCUGGCCCCAGUGUCCUGCUCCUGACCUCUGCGCCCUGGGCCAGUCCAUAUCCUGACUCACACCGGGCCCCAUUCCCAUCUGAGCUCACCUCGGCCUGCGUCUUCGUCAGUUUUCUGUUGCUAUCACAGAAUAUCACAGAUUGAGUAAUUUACAAUGAAGAGAAGAGUAUUAAGCUAACAGCGCAGGAGGCCGGCAAGUCUGAGAUCAAGGGGCCAGCAUCUGGCGAGGGCCCUGCUGACGUGUCAUCCUAUGGCAGUACGUGGAAGGACAGGGUGUGUGUGCUCCAGAGACAGACCAAGAAGGGACCGAACUCACUUUGAUAACAAACCCACUGCCGUGAUGAUAGCAUUGAUGGACUCAGGAGGACCCAGCCGUUGUGACCUCAUCACCUCUUAAAGGUCCCACCUCUCAAUGCUGUAGCACUAGGGACUAAGCUGCCAGUGCAGGAGCUCUAGGGGACACUUUUAAGCCCCGGCAGCUUCUCUGUCCCGACUCUCGUGGCCUUCCUGACUUUCAAGCCCCCCUUCCUCCAGGCCAAUAAUCACAACUGUCCCUGUCCCAGCACAGGCCGUCAGCCCCUCCUCCACCCAGGCCAGAAUCAGCGGCAGCAACCCUGGGCACCCCGACCUGCCCUGCCUGCCUGGCCCCUGGGGGACUUUAGCCACGCUCUGAGCCCGUUUCCUCACCUGUAAACCGGGGUGAAGACAUUUCCUCCCUGAGCACAAAAUGUUUUUCCACCCUCCUGCUUCAGACUUUCUGGACCAGUGGGGAAGAGGGGACCUCCUGGAGCUGACUCAGGACCAGAAAACAGUCCCCACCAGCUCUCUAAUUUGACCCCAGAUGUGUCUUUCUCCUUGAAUACAGCGGGUUGGGCAGCUCCCUUCCUCACCACCUCCCCUUGGAGCCCUGGAUUCUUAUCUUGAGUGCAAAGCAGGGCCUCACCCCGGGGCCCCAGUACACCUCUCCUCCCUCCCAUUAGUCCUCCCAGCUCACCUCAGUUCUCCACCAAAGGCUGAGCAUGCCAGCUAUCCACGGGCGCCUGCCCAGGGCUUCCCGGCUGUGGCCAGGGCAAGAGGACAAGACAAGCUCUUGGACAAUCCACUCCGCCCCAGCCUUCUGGCUUCUGGAAAGCCCUGGGGAAUUCCAGGCUCACUGCUGGCCCCAGCCCAAGCUGCCACACCCACAAAUACUCUCUGCUGCCAUCCAUUCCUCAGCCCUGCUUCCUCCUCCAGGAAGCCUCCCUGGUGACCCCAGCCCCCAGGAAUGAAUGGCAUUGAUCUUUAUGCAGAAUUACAGAACUUUUAAAAUUUUAUUUUUGAGACAGAAUCUUGCUCUUGUCACCCAGGCUGGAGUGCAGUGGCACAAUCAGCUCACUACAACCUCUGCCUCACAGGCUCAAACCAUCCUCCCACCUCAGCCUCCUGAGUAGCUGGGAUUACAGAUGCACUCCACUAUACCCAGCUAAUUUCAUAUUUUCAGUAGAGACGGGGUUUCGCCAUAUUGGCCAGGCUGGUCUUGGACUCCUGGCCUCAAAGGAUUCACCCGCCUUGGCCUCCCAAAGUGUUGAGAUUACAGACAUGUGCCACUGUCGCCGGCCUCAAACUUCUUUUACAGAUUCAUGCUUUGUGGGGUGUAGGGUCUCCCCUUUGUUUCUGACCAAGUGUCCAGUGUUUGGGGGCUGCCGUGAGCCCCUCCUCUGCUCCCUGUACACAGAAUGGAAGCCUGGCUGAGCGCUAGACCACUCGUUUUCUGGACAGGGUCAGGCAGGCAUACCUGGGAGCAACCACACCGGGCCUGCACGUGGCUGAGGGACAGGUUUGGGAACCUUAGAAGCACAUUAGGCCUGAAGCUCAGAAUGCAGAAGUUUGGGCUGAGUAUUGGGCAGCCACGGAAAAUGCUGCACUGCCACCCUGCCCGGGAAAAGAAGCAAGGCAAAGAGAACUCUGCAUAAUGAUGUCUUUGAGCAGGCCUGUCCGCAGCCACAGGGCUCUUGACGGGUGUUGUCUGGGGAGAGGGUGCCAGGAGCUGUGGGGGAAGGUGCUGUGCCUGCCAGACCUGCAGCUCCUAGGCUGAGCCACUUUUGGACAGGUCUCCUCCCAUCCCAAGCCACAGGCCCCAGAGUCCCCUGUGCUGGUGGCUUUCCUGGAGGGGGUGAACCUCGCUGGAAGUUACCAGGUGGUUAGUAUGGACAAGUCCAGCCUGGAGCUACUGAACUGGGGACACACCCCACGCCAAGGCACCUUCUCUUAACUCAGCCACGUGCCACACUGCCUGAAGGACUGUGGGCCAGCUCACGUUUGGACAGGGCCUUUUAGCCUCCCCCUAGCCCAGGCAAGUCAUUUUGCAGGUGAUGAAACUGAGGUUACAGAGGCUGACACAUGAUUCUCCAGGGUGUUAUGUGGCAGACGUAUCUUCACUCCCCUGGUGCCUGUCCCUGUCCUUUCUGGGUGGGGAAGGUGAAAGGGGUUUCCUGGCAGGAAUCAGUCUGGUCCCUAGAAAGGGCCGAGGCCAUCAUGCUGGGGCUGAGGCAGAUGCCGGCCAGCAGGCUACAUACUGCAGAGAGGACCACACGUCACGCUCAGUGGCCAGAAGCACCAGUGCCAGGGCGAGCAUCCUGUCAGUAGCAGGGAGGUGGGGUGCAUCUAGUGUGUCUGCAGUUUGUCCUUCCGGUAGGUUUGUAGUCUCGCUGACUUCAAGAAUGAAGCUGCGGACCUUCGCAGUGAGUGUUACAUCUCUUAAAUGUGGUGUGUCCAGAGUUUCUUCCUUUCGGUGGGUUCCUGGUCUCAUUGACUUCAAGAAUGAAGCCGCGGCCCUUCACGAAACUUUUUAGAGCUGGAUGCAGUGGCUCACACCUGUAAUCCCAGCACUUUGGAAGGCUGAGGUGAGCAGCUUGCUUGAGUUCAGGAGCUCAAGACCAGCCUGGGUAACAUGGCAAAACUCUGUCUUUACCAAAAAGAAAUCCAAAAAACAAAAAUCAGCCAGGCAUAGUGGCAUGCACCUGUCCUCCCAGUUACUUGGGGGGCUGUGGUGGCAAAAUCACCUGAGCCAACUAAUAAAAAAGAAGAGAGACAAGAAUCAAAUAGACACAAUAAAAAUGAAAAAGGGCAUAUCACCACUAAUCCCACAGAAAUACAAACUACCAUCAGAUAAUACUAUAAACACCUCUAUGCAAAUAAACUAGAAAAUCUAGAAGAAAUGGAUAAAUUCCUGGACACAUACACCUUCCCAAGACUAAACCAGGAAAAAGUCGAAUUCCUGAAUAGACCAAUAACAAGUUCUGAAAUUGAGGCAGUAAUUAAUAGCCUACCAACCAAAAAAAAUCCCAGGACCAGACAGAUUCACAGCCAAAUUCUACCAGAGGUACAAAGAGGAGCUGGUACCAUUCCUUCUAAAAUUAUUCCAAGCAAUAGAAAAAGAGGUACUCCUCCCUAACUCUUUUUAUGAGGCCAGCAUCAUUCUGCUACCGAAACCUGGCAGAGACACAACAACAACAAAAUUUUCAGGCCAAUAUCCCUGAUGAAAAUUGAUGCGAAAAUCCUCAAUAAAAUACUGGCAAACUGAAUCCAGCACACAUCAAAAAGCUUAUCCACCACAAUCAAGUCCUCUUCAUUCCUAGGUUGGCUGGUUCAACAUACGCAAAUCAAUGUGUAAUCCGUCACAUAAACAGAACCACUCACAAAAAAACACAUGAUUAUCUUAAUAGAUGCAGAAAAGGCCUUCGAUAAAAUUCAACACCCCUUCAUGCUAAAAACACUCAAUAAACUAGGUACUGAUGGAACAUAUCUCAAAAUAAUAAGAGCUAUUUAUGACAAACCCACAGCCAAGAUGAUACUGAAUGGGCAAAAGCUGGAAGCAUUCCCUUUGAAAACCAGCACAAGACAAGGAUGCCCUCUCUCACCACUCCUAUUCAACAUAGUAUUGGAAGUUCUGGCCAGGGCAAUCAGGCAAGAGCAAGAAAUAAAGGUAUUCAAAUAGGAAGAGAGGAAGCCAAAUUAUCUCUAUUUGCAGAUGACAUGAUUGUAUAUUUAGAAAACUCCAUCGUCUAAGCCCAAAAACUCCUUAAGCUGAUAAGCAACUUCAGCAAAGUCUCAGGAUACAAAAUCAAUGUGCAAAAAUCACAAGCAUUCGUAAACACCAAUAAUAGACAAACAGAGAACCAAAUCAUGAGUGAAUGCCCAUUCACAACUGCUAUGAAGAGAAUAAAAUAUCUAGGAAUACAACUUACAAGGGAUAUGAAGGACCUCUUCAAGGAGAACCACAAACCACUGCUUAAGGAAAUAAAAGAGGACACAAACAAAUAGAAAAACAUUCCAUGCUCAUGGAUAGGAAGAAUCAGUAUCGUGAAAAUGGCCAUACUGCCCAAAGUAAUUUAGAGAUUCAAUGCUAUUCCCAUUGAGCUACCAUUGACUUUCUUCACUGAAUUAGAAAAAAAACUACUUUAAAUUUCAUAUGGAACCAAAAAAAAGCCCGUAUAGCCAAGACAAUCCUAAGCAAAAAGAACAAAGCUGGAGGCAUCACGCUAUCUUACUUUAAACUAUACUACAAGGCUACAGUAACCAAAACAGCUUGGUUCUGAUACCAAAACAGAUACAUAGACCAAUGGAACAGAACAGAGGCCUCCCAAAUAACACCACACAUCUACAACCAUCUGAUCUUUGACAAACCUGACAAAAACAAGCAAUGGGAAAAGGAUUCCCUAUUUAAUAAAUGGUGUUGAGAAAGCUGGCCAGUCAUAUGCAGAAAACUGAAACUGGACCCCUUCCUUACACCUUAUACAAAAAUUAACUCAAGAUGGAUUAAAGACUUAAAUGUAAGACCUAAAACAUAAAAAUCCUAGAAGAAAACCUAGGCAGUACCAUUCAAGACAUAGGCAUGGGCAAAGACUUCAUGUCUGAAACACCAAAAGCAAUGGCAACAAAAGCCAAAAUUGACAAAUGGGAUCUAAUUAAACUAAAGACCUUCUGCACAGCAAAAGAAACUAUCAUCAAAGUGAACAGGCAACCUACAGAAUGGGAGAAACCUUUUGCAAUGUAUCCAUCUGACAAAGGGCUAAUAUUCAGAAUCUACAAAGAACUUAAACAUAUUUACAAGAAAAAAAAACAAAGAACCCCAUCAAAAAAUGGGCAAAGGAUAUGAACAGACACUUCUCAAAAGAAGACAUUUAUGCGACCAACAAACAUAUGAAAAGAAGCUCAUCAUCACUGGUCAUUAGAGAAAUGCAAAUCAAAACCACAAUGAGAUACCUUCUCAUGCCAAUUAGAAUGGCGAUCAUUAAAAAGUCAGGAAACAAGAGAUGCUGGAGAGGAUGUGGAGAAAUAGGAACACUUUUACACUGUUGGUGGGACUGUAAACUAGUUCAGCCAUUGUGGAAGACAGUGUGGCGAUUCCUCAAGGAUCUAGAACUAGAAAUACCAUUUGACCCAGCCAUCCCAUUACUGGGUAUAUAUCCAAAGGAUUAUAAAUUAUUCUGCUAUAAAAGACACAUGCACACGUAUGUUUAUUGCGGCACUACUCACAAUAGCAAAGACUUGGAACCAACCCAAAUGCCCACCAAAGAUCGACUGGAUAAAGAAAAUGUGGCACAUAUACACCAUGGAAUACUAUGCAGCCAUAAAAAAAGAAUGAGUUAAUGUCCUUUGCAGGGACAUUGGAUGAGGCUGGAAACCAUCAUUCUCAGCAAACUAACACAGAAAACCCAACACUGUAUGUUCUCACUCAUAAGUGGGAUUUGAACAAUGAGAAAAUAUGGGCACAGGGAGGGGAACAUCACACACUGGGGCCUGUUGGGGGUGAGGGGCAAAGGAAGGGAUACAUUAGGAGAAAUACCUAAUGUAGAUAAUGGGUUGAUGGGUGCAGCACCAUGGUACAUGUAUACCUACGUAACAAACGUGCACAUUCCGCACAUGUAUCCCAGAACUUAAGUAUAAUAAAAAAAAAAAGACACCCAGGAAGAACGAAAAAUAUAGAAUUUAACAUACUAAAUGGCUAGCUACAUGGUAUGGUCAUAGUAAGAUUGAGGGAAGAAGAAAUGUAACAGUAUGUCUGAAUAUACAUUUUAUAUGCUUUUGAAAUAUUUUAGAUACGUACAAAAAUAAAAGUAAAUUUUAAAAAAUCACCUGAAGCUGGAGGUCAAGUCUGCAGUGAGCUGUGAUCACACCACUGCACUCUAGCCUGGGCAACAGAGUGAGACUGUGUCUCAAAAAAAUAAAAAAGAAAAAAGUAACUUUAUAGCUUGAUGUAAUCCCAUUUAUCUAUUUUUGCUUCAUUGCCUAUGCUUUGGGGUUAUCUGCAAAAAGUCCUUACCCAGGCCAAUGCCGUGGAACUUUUCCCCUAUGUUUUCUUUUAGUAGUUUCAUAAUUUGGUUCUUAAUUUAAGUCAUUAAUUCAUUUUGAGUUAGUUUUUGUAUGUGGUGUGAUCUGAGGGCAGGUUUGGACACUCAGUCCAUGAUUACUGUCCUGGAAUAUGGGAUGUGGGAUGCGGGGGUUUGCCUGGUGGUGGGCCUGGUAUUGGGGUCUAAGGAAAAGUCCUAUGCUUACUUCCCUCUCUUCCUCCCCAGAGGAUGGCAUCUCUCAAUUCAGUGCUGCCUGGGGCUGGGGAUGGAUGAUGUGGGUAAUUUAAAACUGCCUCUCCUGCCAUCACCAAUAUACACUUUCUCAUUAUGCUACAACCAGGUACUGCAAUCUCUCAGCUGGCUUCCUUAGCGCAUGUGAAGAUAUUUUCAAGCAUGAAUAGUUGUUCAAAUUGAUGUUUCUGUGGCGGGACAAUCACUGUAAAGUCCUAUUUUGCCGUCUUGCUUCACUCCUAUCCAGCAAAAGAGAGAAUCUUGAAAGCAUCACAAGAGAAGUAAACUUGUCUCAUAUAAGGGAUCCUCAAUAAGAUUAACAGGUGAUUUCUCAUCAGAAACCAUGGAGGCCAGAAAGUUGGCAUAUUUAAAAUGAUGAAAGAAAAAAAAACUGUCACCAAGAACUCUAUAUCCAAAAAACAAUUCCUUAGAAAAUUUGUAAUUUAAUUUUUAUUUCUAAUAAAAUGAACACUUCACA